AGUGAACGCUGGCGGUAGGCCUAACACAUGCAAGUCGAACGGCAGCACAGUAAGAGCUUGCUCUUACGGGUGGCGAGUGGCGGACGGGUGAGGAAUACAUCGGAAUCUACUUUUUCGUGGGGGAUAACGUAGGGAAACUUACGCUAAUACCGCAUACGACCUACGGGUGAAAGCAGGGGAUCUUCGGACCUUGCGCGAUUGAAUGAGCCGAUGUCGGAUUAGCUAGUUGGCGGGGUAAAGGCCCACCAAGGCGACGAUCCGUAGCUGGUCUGAGAGGAUGAUCAGCCACACUGGAACUGAGACACGGUCCAGACUCCUACGGGAGGCAGAAGUGGGGAAUAUUGGACAAUGGGCGCAAGCCUGAUCCAGCCAUACCGCGUGGGUGAAGAAGGCCUGCGGGUGGUAAAGCCCUUUUGUUGGGAAAGAAAAGCAGCAGGUUAAUACCCCGCUGUUCUGACGGUACCCAAAGAAUAAGCACCGGCUAACUUCGU
rnacentral:rRNA from 1 species